GGAGGAAGGUCUUCCUUGAGAAGUCUUGGCAAAGUUCUCUUGUUUGGAAGGAUCUGGGAAAGGAACAAUGUUGGCAUCUGGAGCCACGGAACCAGGUAAUUCAUCAUAAGAGCUUCUUGAGCUUCUGCCUCUCCUCAAAGGUUGAGAAAAUCCAGCAACUGAGCAUGGUUCCAGCAUGAUUUACUACAAUGUGGAUGUGUAAUUAUGGUGAUGAUUAGACAAAACAUUUUUGACAAGAAAGGAAAACAGUAGUUAAUAAUGUUUUCCAUCUGUUUGGUAAAACCCAACUUGAAAAGAAGGAGGCCUAAGCAUGUACCAGAGUCCAAGGCAACACCUAUCCACAGCAGAUGCUGCCUUUGCUAAAUCUAGCUAAGAUUUAAGCAUCUCUGGAGAGGCUUAAAUCUACUAGCACUACUCAGAAUAUUACUAACAGCCAAUAGAUUUUCCUGGAUGGCUUCCAUCAUGGAUUCCACUUAGGCAAAGUCCGACUAAACAAUGCAGUAGUUGAAGAUCCAGCUCACUAGUCACCACUGUUCACAGAUUCAUGAACAUCUGCAGGGGCCUUUGUGUCAGCAGGGAAGACAGAGGAUAAGAAAACACAGGAAAAGCCCUUUAAAAAAAAGCCACAGGAAAGCCAUCAAGAGAAGAGUUGAACCAAGUGCAUCUGGGUGGUAACCAACCAUCAGUCUGGCUAACACCAAGAUGUGCGCAAGUAAUUGGUGUGAACUGCAGUUGGAGAUAUGCAUGAGUUUCAAAACGAGAAGACCUACCUUAUGGAUGUAGCCAUGGAGUACUUCCACAUCUGUUAACUUCACUGGUGUUCUCUACAUCCAGCAAAAGCAAAAAAAACUAUACACUGUAUAAGUUAUGCAAACAAAGUAUACCUGUUCUGACCUCAGACAAUGAAUACAAUUACUUGUUUAAAAAGUGACUAAUAUUAUUUAAAAUAAAAACAUGGUUUUCUAACAGAUUAAGAGCAUUAACUCUUUCAUUUUGUACUAAGUAGUUGCUUUGUUUAGUUAUGCAGUUUUCCCUUAUUGUUAUAGGCCUUCUGCCAGCAAAUCAUUAGGAUUAAAAAGGAGGAACACUAGAAAGUUCAGUAUUAUACAUCUAUUUUGCCAACAUGUAGCAAAUAGGUAUAAUCCAUCAUUUUCAAUGCCCCUUUCAAUAGUAUCCUUCACUACCUCAGAUAAUUUAACAAUCACAAUGACAGUCUAAUUUUUUCCUCUAGUAGCCAAGAUGUUUUCAAAGGAAACUUUUUUUCCAGUAGCACAUUCUGGAUUCUCUACUGAAAUACUAUUAGAUGCAAAACGCCUUCAUUCUUUAGGCCAACUUCAGGAAUGUUGGAAAGAUCUGGAAAAGCCAUUCUCAUUUUUCAGGUCACUCAGAAAAAUCCCUACAAUCUUCCUGUCAUUUCUAUUCCUUUUACAAUCCAUCUAAUACUGGAACAGCAUCAAGAGUCUGAAAAUAGGUAAACUUUUUUGCUGGCGGCAAACUCAAGGCAUUAGACCGUGGGCUUCCCACCCUCUCUCCUCUCCUGUCCAUGUCCAUUACUGGAGAAAGAAGGUUUUUACUAGCAAUGGUCCAAGCAUGGCUUAUUUCACCCAGCUGGGUCCCCAUCACACUUAAUGGUAGGAGCAUGGAGUGGUAUAUAUGCAUGUACAGCUACAAUGGUUUCAUACUGCAGUAGUUCCCUGCUAAUUUACAUUAAUGACUAAGUGUCCCAUUGUUUGCCAUCUGUAUACACAGUCAAAAAAUCAAGAAUAAUGCAGCACAAAAUGUAAUUUGCUCACUUACUUGACAAAUGUAAUUUAGUUUGUGGCACCAAAUAGUUCUCUAUUAGGUUAUGUAAGUAAAAUGUCUGACCUACUUAAAGACUUCCAAACAACCCUAUCCCACAGAGAAAUAUUGUCACUGUAUUUAUAAUUUGUAACCUCCUUUCAUGGCAUAAAAUGUUCUAAUCAAAUCUGUCUGUAACU